rnacentral:snoRNA from 1 species
ACUGUCUUAAUCUGCAUCAUUACACCAGGUUUCACCUGUGUGACUUUCAUACUUGGUGAGAGAGAAAAGAGUUCCUCACGGACCUUGGAGUGGCCCCACAGCGGCCUCACUUGCCUAGAGACAAGACAGAC